GCUGGGGCUGAGUGGUAUUGCACUUGCCUGGCAUGUGUGAGGCACUGAGUUCGAUUCUCAGCACUGCA
rnacentral:tRNA from 1 species